rnacentral:rRNA from 2 species
UACGUAGGUGGCGAGCGUUGUCCGGAUUUAUUGGGUUUAAAGGGUGCGUAGGCGGCCCCCUAAGUCAGUGCUGAAAUAUCCCGGCUUAACCGGGAGGGUGGCAUUGAUACUGAGGGGCUUGAGUAAAGUCGAGGUAGGCGGAAUUGACGGUGUAGCGGUGAAAUGCUUAGAUAUCGUCAAGAACACCGAUAGUGCAGACAGCUUACUAGGCUUUAACUGACGCUGAGGCACGAAAGUGUGGGGAUCAAACAGG